AGUGCUACACAAUACGGUAGCCCCUAGCAACGUGGUAGCCCUGAGAUUAGGUUAGGUGGAUUCUCAAUUUUUCUUCACACUCUUUUUCUAAUUGUUCCCCCUCUAUAAGAUUUUAAUUCCAUAUAUAUUAUAUGUGCUCUAUCUAUGCCUGUUCCUUACACAUUGGAAAGAGUAAGACUUAUCCCCUCUCUAUUCCUCCAGAACCAAUUUUCACCUCCUUGGAGGUUGAGACUGUUCCCUGUUGCAAAUACAUGGCUAGUGUGGUAGUCGUAAGGAAGUUUAGGCAGGGAUUUUAGGUCACUGUAAAGAAUUUGGAUUUUAUUAAAAUUAGGAAACAAUGAAAGAAUUUUAAGGAUAGGAUUGGCAUGGUCAGUUUUGCCUUUAGAAAGUCACUUCAUAGGCAGAGGGGCCAAGAUAGCUGAUUAGAAGCAGCUGCAGUACUCAUGGAGAGGAAUGAAAGUGGCGAGUGAACUUAGCACCUUCAACUGAAAUAUCCAGGUUCUUGCAUUGGGACUGAUUAGGCAAACAACUUGACCCACAGAGAACAAAGAAAAGAAGGAUGGGGUGAUGACCCAACUGGGAACAGCCUGGAACCAAAGGAACCCAGUCAAGGGAAGUGGUGAGUGUGGUGCAGCCCCAGUCAGGAAACCACACUUUCCCCAUGGAUCUUUGCAACCUGCAGAUCAGGAGAUCCCCUUGUGAGCCCACACCACUAGGAGCCUUUUAAACAUAUGAAUGUAUGCUGAUGCUUUCAUUUUAUCCUGAGCUCCCUCAUCACACCCUAAAUCCAGAGCUUCUUACUCAAACUUCAUCAAGUUCUGCAUGCCGUGUUAUAUGCUGCCCCACCAAACUGAGUUUAACAGUGCUGCCCAAAACUUUAAAAGCAUUAUCUAACUAUUAACUUCUGUUCAUUCUCAUCAAGCCUUAUUGUGUGAUGCUAUGCCCCUUACGGACAUACACACUGUAUGUCAUUCAAUCUAAAAUUCUACUAAAUAUAUGUUCCAUAAUUUCUUGCACCACUAAGAAAUAUAAAACCUUGCCAAUUAAACUAUGACAAUACUUUUUUUAACCACUUAAAAUUUUUAUUUUAAAAAAUUUAAAGGGGUUCUUUUAGACCAGGGAUUUGCAAACUAUAGCUCAUGGUCCAAAUCCAACCACCUGUUCUUGUAAAUAAAGUUUAAUUGAGAAGUAGCCAAGUUCAUUGGUUUCCCUUUUGGCUGCUUUUGCACUACAAUGGGAGAAGUGAAUAGCUGGGACAAAGAUAGGAUGGCCUUUAGAGGCAGAAAUAUUUAUCUGGCCAACCCCUGCUCUUGCUUCAUUUAGACACAUUUUU